UCCCAUCCCGAACAGAGAAGUUAAGCCCGCCUGCGCAGAUGGUACUGCAAUUUGUGGGAGAGUAUGUCGCUGCCUUUU
rnacentral:rRNA from 1 species